rnacentral:rRNA from 1 species
UGGUUCUAUUUUGUUGGUUUCUAGGACCGCCGUAAUGAUUAAUAGGGAUAGUCGGGGGCAUCAGUAUUCAAUYGUCAGAGGUGAAAUUCUUGGAUURACUGAAGACUAACUACUGCGAAAGCAUUUGCCAAGGAUGUUUUCAUUAAUCAGUGAACGAAAGUUAGGGGAUCGAAGACGAUCAGAUACCGUCGUAGUCUUAACCAUAAACUAUGCCGACUAGGGAUCGGACGGUGUUAGUAUUUUGACCCGUUCGGCACCUUACGAGAAAUCAAAGUUUUUGGGUUCUGGGGGGGAGUAUGGUCGCAAGGCUGAAACUUAAAGAAAUUGACGGAAGGGCA